rnacentral:rRNA from 1 species
ACCUGUGGCGAAGGCGGUCUACUAGAACACGUCCGACGGUGAGGGAUGAAAGCUGGGGGAGCAAACCGGAUUAGAUACCCGGGUAGUCCCAGCUGUAAACUAUGCAAACUCAGUGAUGCAUUGGCUUGUGGCCAAUGCAGUGCUGCAGGGAAGCCGUUAAGUUUGCCGCCUGGGAAGUACGUACGCAAGUAUGAAACUUAAAGGAAUUGGCGGGGGAGCACCACAAGGGGUGAAGCCUGCGGUUCAAUUGGAGUCAACGCCAGAAAUCUUACCCGGAGAGACAGCAGAAUGAAGGUCAAGCUGAAGACUUUACCAGACAAGCUGAGAGGUGGUGCAUGGCCGUCGCCAGCUCGUGCCGUGAGAUGUCCUGUUAAGUCAGGUAACGAGCGAGAUCCCUGCCUCUAGUUGCCACCAUUACUCUCAGGAGUAGUGGGGCGAAUUAGCGGGACCGCCGCAGUUAAUGCGGAGGAAGGAAGGGGCCACGGCAGGUCAGUAUGCCCCGAAACUCUGGGGUCACACGCGGGCUGCA